rnacentral:tRNA from 1 species
GCCGAAGUGGUGGAACGGUAGACACGUAGGUCUCAAAAACCUAUGGGCUUCACCGCCCGUGACGGUUCGAAUCCGUCCUUCGGCACCA